CAGUAGCCACGGUAAUACAGAGGGUGCAAGCGUUAAUCGGAAUUACUGGGCGUAAAGCGUGCGCAGGCGGUUAUAUAAGACAGAUGUGAAAUCCCCGGGCUCAACCUGGGAACUGCAUUUGUGACUGUAUAGCUAGAGUACGGCAGAGGGGGAUGGAAUUCCGCGUGUAGCAGUGAAAUGCGUAGAUAUGCGGAGGAACACCGAUGGCGAAGGCAAUCCCCUGGGCCUGUACUGACGCUCAUGCACGAAAGCGUGGGGAGCAAACAGGAUUAGAUACCCGAGUAGUCCCUGUCUCUUAUAC
rnacentral:rRNA from 1 species